rnacentral:tRNA from 1 species
GCUCGGAUGGUGGAAUGGUAGACACUGGGGACUUAAAAUCCCCUCCGUUAAUAGCGGGUGCAGGUUCGACUCCUGUUCCGAGCA